UACAUCACACUAGAGUUCUCACCAACUAACAAUAUCCCAAACACUACUCAAAAGCAACAAGAUAUAUUAAUUAUCAUUACAGUCCAAAAACAAAAGUUCAUAGUUAAACAACUUAAUCAAAUUAGAGUCUCAUUACAAAUCCAUAGUUUGCAGUUUACUAAAACAAGUCCCAAUACCACAAACACAAUAAAUACAAUACGCUUCACUAGACCGCUCCAGGAGCAUCCUGAAGUCCUCCCUACCCCACAUGUGGAUCCUUAGGAGUGAUAUUUGCAUCUAAAAAGAUGUAAAAAGGAAGGGGUGAGCAUUCCACAUUGCUCAGUAAGGUGCCUAACACCCAAGGGAUAAUGGGGAUUACUAAGUUUCAAAGAACACAAAGAAGCAUUUCAACAACAUUGAUCAAGCCACAUACAUUAAUCUCUAUAAUUAUACACAAUUCCACAAUAUUCAAUAAUUAAAUGAAAUGCAUAUGAACGUGUGACACUCAAUCAUACAAUGCACUGUCAUUCUCGGGCUUUCACCGAAUGAUAUGCGUCCGCACCCAAAUACACUCCCCAUUUGGAGUCUUCCCGUGGUAAACUUUUGGAUCUUUCACUCUAAGAAUCUCUUUCCCUUCUUAAUUCGCCUCACAUAGGCUUUUACUUUUCAUCACUAUUUCAUUUUUUCUUUUUUCUUUUUUCCAUUUCAUACACUUUUCACAAUUUUUAUCCUUUCUUCACACAACCAUGAUGCAAAUGAAUGUCAUGAGGUUAAUUACUCUCAUUCAUAUAUCACCAAUAUCAUUGGAAUUACAAUCACGCCACAAAUCCCAAAAUCUUCCAACAAUUUCAACAUUCUCAAUAAUCCAAUAAAAUAAAUUUUCCACAAUAAAAUUAUUGAAAGUAAUCCAACAAAUUCUAAAAAAUUCGCAUAUCAAUAAAUUUGAAAUUAUACCACAAUUUCGGAAUUUCCCAAAAUUCUAAUAAUUUCCAAUAUUCGAAAAUAAUAAAUUUUCCACAAUAAAAUUUUCGAAAAUAUUCCAACAAAUUCUCAAAAAUUUACAUAUUAAUAAAUUUGAAAUUAUACCACAAUUUCGGAAUUUUCCAACAAUUCCAAUAAUUUUUAACAACCCAAAACAAUUAUGUAUUAACCAAAAAGAAAUUCCCGAAAUUACAAAAAUUCCUAUAGCACUAAUAUUACCUACUUAACUCAUAAUAACAAGAUUUAUAAUUUUUUUCUAAGGAAAAACGCAUUUAAUUAAAAUUUUAGGGUUAGGUUCCCCUACCAAAAAUCUAAGAAUCCGACCGUUAAAAUCAUGACAGGCCACCGUAGAAUCAUUCCUCUCGUCGAGUAGAACACCUCCUCAAAUUUUCAGGCAAAACGAAUGUCGUUCAGCCGUCCAAAUGGCUGACCAAAGUUCCGGCGGGAUGACUUCUCCCACAAUCGCCGAGGCUCUCUCCCCCUUCUGCCACUUUUUAACUCCUUUCCUUUUUUCUUUUUUUCUUUUUUUUUAAUUUAACUACCAACCACCACAAGCCCCCUUUCUUGGCUUUUAACCAUCCACAGCUACGACCCAACUCCCAAAAGCCCAUUUGAAUUAAUUUUCUUUUUCUUUUAUUUCCAUUUGCUUUAUUUCAUUUCCAAUUCAUUUCAUUUUUCAUUUUUUUUUACAACACACAAAUUAAUUUAUUAAGCACCAACCCAAAAAUUUAAUUUUCUCAAUUUUAUUAAUAAGCAAUUUAAUUUAAUUUUUACUUAAUUAAUUCUAAUUAAUUUUAAUUAAUUCACUUUUUCAUUUUCGUUUUCGUUUUUCAUUUCUGGAAAUUUUUAAUUUCUAAAAUCCUAAGAAAUUUUCUACUAUAAGGCUGACGUGGCACAAAAUUUUCAACUCGCUUAGUUAACCAACAAAAUAAUUCGAAUUUCGCCAAUCAAAAAUUAACACAUGUUCCCCAAACACUUUUCUUUUUUACUUUUCAACCACCACUCAAAAGAAGACUUUUUAAACUAGAAUUUCCAAUGUGGCAAAAAAAAAACCCGGUCAUUACACUAUCUGUCACCUUGUUUCAUAUAUCUAGCUGGAUCAGGACAGAUCAUAAUGAAGCACAAAGAGUAGAGAGGUCUUCUAUCCUCUCAAAGAUAAGAGAUGAGAGAAGCAAAGACAAAGGGAUAAGAAAAGAAAAGAUGAGAGCAAAUGAAUGUUGUCUCCGUUUCUUGCUCAGACUUAGAGAGACACAAGGGUUUACGAAUCCCAUUCCUACCUGUCACCUCACUUCAUAUAUCUAGCUGGAUUAGAACGGAUCAAAAUGAAGCACCCUAAAUCUGGAAAACCUACUUGAUUUAUUUUUGUCAAAGGCUUAAAGCCAACUUUUUCAUUCUAAAUAGAGCUUGUUUCCAAUGAAGGAUUGAUCUUAUUUUGCAAAGAGAGCAGGUAGGUUAAGAUCUUAGUCCCAAAAUUUACAUGUCCAUAAUGCCAAAUGUAAAGAAGGCAACAACUUAUUAAUGGAAUAUGCUACCAAUCAUGGCAGGAGAAAAGAGGAUCAAUAGUGCCUCUAAAGAGGGAUGUAUAAAAUAAUGCAUAUCAUCCAACUUUUACAACAAAACAAAUCACCUAUUAAGACUGCCCUUUUUCUAGCAUUCAUUAAUAACCAUUUGGUACUUAAAGCUAUGCUCUUGAUCUUUAGCGCUCCCACCAUUGCAGCUACAUUGGCAUUACCAAUUCUAGUUAAGGCCAUAGUCUUUCAUCUAUCUUCUAGUAGUCGUGCUUUGCGAAUAAGAUUUUUGGGCAUGGUGUAUAUAUAUAUAUAAAUGGAAACAGUUGAAGUAAUAUGAGUGUGACAAGAGCGAUAGCAACAAGGAAAAAAAAUUGAGCAACAGUUGGUAUUUAUAAAAGCAUUGUUAUAAUGAAAUGAAAAAUAAAGGUAAUGACGCAAAAUCACAACCCAUCUGGAACAGAAUGGGGCAAGGCAAAACAAUACCAUACCUUGGCCCAAACCUAACCCCUAACCUACUUAGAGGCUAUACCUAAAUCCGUUCUAUUAGAAGGAGGUCAAACCUAACACCACAAAAAAUAAAAUAAAUAAAUAAAACAGCCUUACUAUCAUCCUUAAUUCUUAAUUAGGUGGGCAAGUGACAAAAUAAAAGGUAGGGAAGAGGUUAGACUAAGUACUUCUUGUUGGAUACAUACGAAAUUAAAUUGAUCUUGAGAAUCUUAAAUAUGAUCCAUGCUUAGCAAAAUUGAUUACAACAUAAAUGGUUAGUUUGAUGACAGGGGAUAAAUUUACCAUAUGUGAAAGAUAGAGGUUGACAAUUCAACCCUUAUCAACUGCUCAUUUUACCUCAAUCGGCUCCUAUCUUAAGUUUUAGAACAAUCUAAGCAACAAACCCAGCUUCCAUAUGGCGGCAGUCUGAAAUUUAAUAUGACCGUAGCAUAAUUGUUCGAGGACUUAAGAACAACUCUUAUCGUUAGUUACAUGUUAAGCUAUGGUAUGCAAAAAUAGAAGAUCAAAUCAAGAAUUCAUUUUCAUAAGGGCACGGGGUGUCAAUGGUGGGGAAUGAAUCUAUAAUAAAUGUAGACGUGGGUGAUGUGAUCUAGGCUGUCUAGCUUAGUAAACCAAAGCCUACUCAACCAUCAGACAAAAGGGUACAUGUUUCCCAUACAAAACUUAAUUAAAUUGUGCAUGCUCACCAGCUAUAAGAGAGCCCGAUAAGCUAAUUUUAGGUAGCAAGUUCACUCUAAGAAAAGUAGGACUACUUCCACGAUUCCUUUCUGUUAAUCCAUCUCCGACAACCCUAAGUUUCUAAAGUAUUUGCAGGAUUAUCCCCAAGUUUCAGCUACCAUUAUCAUCUCCAUUCUAAAAGCCUUUCACCCAUCUAUUCAGUCCCAUACUCCAAUGCGAAACCUAACUAUUUUGCCAAUGAUCUGUUCCAAGUUGUCACAACAUUGCAUCUUCUUUGUCCUCAAAGUUUAUUAGGGCAUCAAAACUUCAGUUUUGUUGCCCUUUAACCUUUAAUUUUCUUUAACAGCAGCUUGAAUUUUUUGCAUUUCCAACUCUUCAAUGGGUAUUCGAUACCAACUGUCAUGGACAAACAUGACCAUUAUACUUAACUUAAAUGACAAAAAACUAUAGAAGAUCAAUUUUUUUACCUCAAAAACUUAGGUUAAAUUCUCAGAGGAUAUCUUCAUGGAACUAUCACAAACCUUGCCAUUAAUAAUAAUGCGAUAACCACAUAGUCCCAAAAUAAUCCUUUGUUAGUCACCUGGAUACUUAUUUCAUCAAACCCAACAAUAAUCUUUCCUAACAACCAUUUGCUAGUGCAUCAGGAAUUUGGAAUAAUCCAAAGAAGCACUAUCAUAUAUCACCAAACAAGUAAGGCCAAGAAAUUUCAAUUUGAUAUUAAAUUAGUUAAAUAAAGGGAGGGAAAUAAGAUAGUGUACGAUUAUUAUAAUGGUUGGCUCAUUUAUUGUUCCACGAUUUUGAAUGAUGUACAACAACCUCACUUUCUUUGAUCAUCAAGGUAUACAAGAUGCUCAUACUUGCCUUGUAUCUAUGAAUCAAGGGCUUGGAAUAGAGCUUGGUAGGUGGAUCAAUUGAAUAUGGAAGAACCUCUAGGUCUUGAUAUUGGUGUUCAUGAAUUUUAGAAAGAAUAAACAUGUGUCAAUCUCAUUGCAUGUUAUUAAAGAUGCAAAUUAUUCCUAACCCUAUAUCUGAAAAUCUAGCUCUAAAAAUUACAAUAGGAUGCUAAGUUCGUAAAAGUUUUAGGCAUAUAUCAAGGAAUUACAAGAAGAAAAUUUAUUGUUGUUACUUACAAGUGAGACAUGCAUGUCAUCUCUAGAUAUAUCCUAUAGCCUUUGAGCAAAAUGCCAAGAUUAGUCCAAACAAGCAACAAUUUGUUUCUUUUAGCCUUCAUACCUUCAUGACCUCUUGUUUUUUACCCACACAUGUUAGAGCUUCCAACCAAACAAUAUGUAAGGGUGUUAAAAGGUGCGGCUUGAUUGGGUUUUGAAGGAAAAAUUAGUUGAACUGACAUAGUUUAUAUGUAAAAUUUCUAGUCUAAAAUAUAAUGAAUGCAUUUAGAAACUAAUUUGACCAUAAUCUAAUAACAAUAAAUUCUUUUAAUAGUGUACAAAGCAUAUAUAAUGAUAAAUAUUAAAAAACUCAUCUAACAUUGAACGAUUAUAAAUCACAAGAGAUAGAAGUCUUGAAAUGUCAAUUUUUGGUUCCAUUUUUAUUAGUUAGGAAACAAAGAAACUAAAAACCAAACCAAUAAACUCGAUCUUCAAAAUUCUCAAACCAAACUAACCUUUAUAAUUGUUGAAAAUAGAACUAAUUUAAAAACCAACCAAUAAUGUCAAUUUUCAAAAUCCUCAAACCGGACUGACCUUUAUAGUUGUUGAAAAACGGAAUUGAUUUAAUCUGUUUUAAUUGGGUUAGAUUGAUUUUUUAUUGGUUUUCACUUACACCCCUAACUAUAUGACUCCUAUGAAACAUAAUCUUAGCCCAAUUCAACCUUGUGCAUUGUUUUUCUUUUUCUUUUUUCUUUUUUUUUGUUAAUAAGUAGACCGAAAAUGUAUUAAAACCUAUAAAAAAAAAAAUGAUGCACCAGAGUAUAUGGGACAGAUACAAGAGUGCCAAAAGUCCUAAUUCAACCAAGUGCAUGUAUGAUCAAAUUUUUAUUACUUAAGAAAAUAAUCUUUUUUUCUAUUAAUAAGUUAGUUGACGAUAAGUGUUGUUCAUUUUGACUCGUUUAGUGUGUUCCACAGCUUGCUAGAGCAUUGAUGGUUGGCAAUAAAUGUGUAUGCUCUAUCAAGUUGGAAUCUGAUGGAAGUUUUAAAAAAAAUGCAACACUAAUCUCAUAGUUUAGGCCUUUAAAUAGAAAUAUGGCAUUAAUUAAGAAGAGAAAUUCAUGCUUGUUGCUGAAAUGAUUAUAUUUCACACUGUACUACCAAUUGUUGCCACAGUAAAUUGAUUUAUUUGUCAAAAUGGAUAUAGAAGAAAUGAAGAAAGAAAAAGAUUCCUUCACAUGGGGACCUUCAAAAACAAUUUUUAAGCAACCACCCCUAGAUAUGCUCUAGGCAAUCUACAAACUUUUAAUUGAAAAUUCCUCUAUGGAUUGAACAUGUCCAGAUGCAUGGUAUAGAAUUCCCAAUACUUUCCUUCAUAUACAAUUAUACCAAAUUUCACGUGGUCAUUCAAUGUUGACUCAAAAAAUAGGGAAAUUUGACGCUAGCUUAAUUCUCUAUCAUAAUAUGAUUAUUAAAGAAAAGUUCAUUUCAAUAUUUCCACUUUAAAAAGUCUCUAAUGAGCAAUUUCAAAAUGAAAGAUUUGAGGUCCAUGAAAGAGAGUAUUGUGAGGAUUUAUCCCCUUUGGUCUCUCCAACCAAUUCUAAGCACACACUAAUAUGCUAAUAAAGUUACAAUUCAAAUUGUGUAAAACAAAAACAAGUCAUCUACUAACUCAAUUAUAUCAAUAACUUGUUGGAAGUUCGGUCUUUAUUCACUAGGAUAGGUCCAACAAUACCAAGCUCUUACAGGUAUGUUGGAUUCUUCAUUAUCUUCACGAUAUUCUUGACUCAUGAUUGUGGCAUCUUGUGCUCCUCUACUUCCACUUCCAUAUGAACAAUUAUAGAUGAGGAUUGAAUGCUCGGAAACAUGGAGAUUUAUAAUUGGUCGGUGUAUGGUUUUAGUCACAUCACUUGAAUCUUGAAACUGAAAUAAGCAGGGCUUCAAUCUUCAAAUCUUCUACUAAAUCAAAGCAAAUAUCCAUGUCUUGUGCUAGUAGUUGGGUGACAUGACUUCUUCAACUCCUCUUCGAACUCUAUUUUUAACUUUACUCCUCUCUAAUCGAAGUGUCAUAGAAACCACUAAUAACCUUAUAUUUCAUAAGCAUAGUGGCACAUUCAAGUAAAUUAUCAUUUCAUUUUACCACAUCUCCUUUUAGGGGUUUUCCAUCCCUGAUUUUUUUUCUCAUAAUCAAUUGGAGACCUCCUCACUAUAGCAAUUUUGCAACCUUGCCACAAUUUUCUUACCACCAAAUUGACCUUUUUGUUCUCAAUAGCAUUAAUUUGAGGGUCACUGUAAAAGUGGACCACAUGAUCAAAGCCUUUAGGCUUUAGCCCAUCACAACGAAGCAUAGUUGUUAAAGCCACCCUUCAACAUGCCUAGGCCAAAUGGGUAGCGACUACCCACCUAUGGCAACUUGCAUACCAAGACACACACCUUGUCAUAGAGGUGCACCUCAUCUUUUCUCCUCUCAAGGAAAAGCAACCUGGUUUUAGCCCUAAAAAAAGUGAAAGCAAAAAAAAUAUCCUUUGGCCCUAAAAAGAACUCUUCGCUCGAGCAUAUUCCUUAGUUGCACUUUCACCUAGAUCUUGAUGAUGAUGGUGACAACAAACAUAUCAAUUUGAUGUAGGGGUUAGCAAACUUGGCCAGCCUUUUAACUUUUCUCCUUCCUGCAUGUUUUUUGUCCCAUUUUCUUGCAAAACUUGCACCACAUCAUCAAUACACCUUAAAGUGAUAGAUUAACUAAAUAGAACAUUUUAAGGCUUAAAAAUUGCACAACUCAUGGUCAAUAGGCAAGGUAAUUUAUGCAUCUUUUUAUGCCUAUUAGAUCUCAAGCGACCUUUGCACUUUGGCACCGCCUUUCACCUUCAGAACUAUCAAACAAAGUCCACUUAGCCAUUGGUCAAAUGGAAUAAUAGUUUUUCUUAUUAUAUUCUGCAUACUUUACCAACUAAGAGAUUCCAGUUAGCUAACAUAGAUAACAAAUUUUUUUAUAACUAUUUAAUUUUUUUAUUGAAACCAUCAUUGUAAUAAACUAUUUUGGCAAUAGUUAUGUUAUUUAACAUGGUCAAAUCCCAAAGAAAACCAGACCUUUCUCUAUAACUCCUUUCCUCCGAUUUUGUCUUCAUAUCUGAUUAUUAUAAAGAAGGUAAGAUACAUUGCAUUAGUACUCAUAUAUCAUGAAAAUAUUGAUAAAGAGACUAACUUGGGUUGCCUAUAUUGGUUAAAAUUUAAUGAUAACUACUUCAUAUUAAUUUCAUUCUUUGUUCAAAAAAAUCUAUUUAAAUUAUUGUAUCUGUCGAAUCUAAAGAAUUGGACGGUAAAAGAAUAAAUUUCUUCCUUGAUUUUUAAUCUAUACAAAAGACCCAUAUAUAUAUAUAUACAAAUAUUCCUAGCACCAAAAUAGGUACUUUCCUAACCUAAUUACAUCAAAUCCCCUUAAUUAUGGGAUUAUCAAAAUCUCUCCUUAAUUACAAUUAUACAAAUAUGGCCUUCCUAAUUCCUUUCUUCCACACAAACAACAAGAAACCUUUAAAGAUCGACAAUGAAGGCUAGCACUAAACUUUGAACUCGACAUUGAAGGCCAAAGAAAAUUCCUUCACAAUUCCUAGAUUUACGAGCCUGGGGCUCUAAUACCAAUUUGUUGUGCCGGUGGAAGUUUUGAUACAAACAAUGUUAAUUCAAGAACAUAAAGAUAAAACGAUCCACACAAAGGUACACGAGGUUUUAACAUGGUUCGGCCAACCAUGCCUACAUCAAUGGAUGAGAGAGAAUUAUUUCACUAUACCAUAAAGAAUAUUACAAAUGAUAAAACCAGACACACCUAUUAGGUUCCCAAAACAUCUCAUGUUUCCCCAUUCCUUGUAUUUACACCUUGAACCACGAGCCCCCUCGCUUCACCAGGUGUCCUAUUCUUCCUCACAUCUCCAUCCACCCCAUAUAGUCUUUACAAGUUCAUCUCCAUCUCAUAACCUUCUUCUCUCCUCACCCAGAAUAUUUAUAGAAAUAUUCCUAAUGAUUUUCCUUAUUCUAUAAGGAAAUCUAAUAUUACAAUAACCAAUGAAUAUUAGGAAAUAACACAAUAUCCUUUACACAAAAGAAAUCUAUACUAAUUGGGAAUUUGAGACACUUUCCAACAAUUUUCACCUUAAAUCAAAUUCCAUUAAAUUAAUCUCCAAUAUCUCCAAGAUACGCAUUUUUGUAUCACAUUUGACAAAAGAACAAUCGACUUCACCUUCAACACAAAAAUUCCUUUUAUCAUCAUCUUGUGUGCUCUAUUCUCCUUGGCUCUUCCAAAAAUCUUCAACCCAAGCUCUGACACCAUGUAGAAUCUAAAGAAUUGGAAGGUAAAAGAAUAAAUUUCUUCAUUGAUUUUUAAUUUGUACAGAGACCCAUACAUAUAUACAAAUAUUCCUAGCACCAAAAUAGAACUUUCCUAACCUCAUUACAUCAUAUCCUCUUAAUUACAGGAGUGUCUAAAUCCUUCCUCAAUUACAAUAUACAACUAUGGCUUUCCUAAUUUCAUUCUUCUAUGGUAUCAAUGAAAAAAUUGCUAAUAAAAUAAAUCUAUAAACUUAACAUUCCCUCUCCUCGGUAUUAAGGCAAUCCACAAGUGUUGACUUCUCUAGUGAAUAGCAUUGCAUAGUUAGCAAUAUCUCUUGUUUGCCAUAUCAAAACAUUCAAGUAGUGUUUGAUUGCUUUGCCUUUUAUUUUGUUUUUAAAAAUAGGAAAAACAUAUUUAUUUUUCAUUUCAUUUUCUUUGUAUUUUUAGACGAUGAAACAAGUUUAUUAUUCAUGAUCAUUUUCCACUUAAAAUCCUUAGACAUUAAAAACAUAUUUAGACAAGGUACAUGAAACCUUUUUUUUUUCUAAUUGUUUUGUAGAUGGGUAAUGGCAGUGGCAACAGGGUGGUGGAUGGAGGUGGUUGUGACAAAUAGGUGGCAGUCAUAAGGUGGUAGGAUGGCUGAGGCAAUAAGGUGCUUGUGCUUAGUGCUGUGUACAAUGGGGUGAUUGGAAGAGGUGGUGAGAGUAGUAAGUUGUGUAAUUACAUGGCACACAACAAUUAGAAAACAAAUUUUGGAAAUUUUGGAAAAAAAAAAAAAAAAAGGAAAUGACAAUGCAACUAAGAAAAAUCUUUGUUAUUUUGUUUUGUUGUUCUUUAACUCCCAGAUUUUAUUCUUAUAUGAGAGAACCUAGUGAACUCAACAGUCCCAUCUUUUUUUGCCUCUUUGCAUCUACUUCGUUUGCUUGAUCCAAUUUCUUUUUCUCUCAUCCACCCACUUGCUUUGCUUCUGCAAAUUCUUGACUUUUAUUAGAUGGCCAUAUUGAAUUAAGUCAACUCAAAUCUUAGGAUCUCCAUCUGAUUCCCAUUAAUACUCAAAAUGUCUUUUCCCCCAUAGAAGUACCAAUCUAUAAGAGCAAGCAACUCCUUCUCCAACCAUCACACUGUUGAAAGUUUACAAUUGUGUACCCAUAUUGCAAAUGUUGCCGGAUUGUAGACAAAUUCAAAUUUUUUCCUUUUAAAUUGGUUGUCCUCUUCCUUGACCUUUUAUGACCAUCAACAUUCACAAUGCCUUCACAUCCAAAGGACAUACUAAUUUACCAGAGUAUGACACCUUUUCUACCCAUCUUAUGAUGAAAAUUUAUGGCUGCAUAUCACUAUACCAGUAUUUAAAAUGCAGUCACGUCGGAAACACAUUCAAUCCAAUACCAUUUUUGGUUUGAUCAUGCAGCCGUUAAAAUAAGGGAGGAGGUAGAAGUAAUGACCAAAGUAACAAUGUUCAUUCCCACACAUUAGCCAAAUUGACGUCUUUAUUUUCUAAAAACCCAUUGAAGCAUCUCGCUGGGAAUGUUCGUGAGUUGGCCCACUACAGUUCAUUCCCAGUUAUGCCCAAAGCGAACACUACUUCCUAAUGCGAAGCAAUGCCCCUCCCAUCUUAUACAAGAUAUAGGGGUUUUUUUCCAAACAAAAAGCCACCAAGAAUAGCAAGUAAAAAAUGGAAGAACAAAGGACCAUAGGUCAAUCAACCACACAACACAAGAUGUACAUCGAAACCCCUUCUAAUUAAAGGAAAAACCAUCGAUCUUUAACACCAAGAAAAUAUAUAGCAACUGGAAAAUACCUCCAAAGGGAGAAAUCCACUUCUUGCAACUCAAAGUCUUCCGAACUCAUUUGGGGAAACACCAAAAAUCUUUCCAGAGUAGAAAAAGGAAGGAAAAGCUGAUUCUAAUCUUCUAUCUUCAUCAAAAAUAAAAACUUGUCUUCAUCUGCCACUCACACUCAUAUCGUACUCCUACUUCCAUUUUCUUCCCCCCUUACCUACCCAUCCUCUUCGCCUUCCAUUCAUCUUAUUCCUCUCUCCCACUUCAAUUUUAACUAACCAUCACAGCGGUCAUGUUGCUCCCUCUCUUUUUCUCUCUCGAAAUUAAACUAGAGAAAAAGAAUGGAAUGAACGGAAAUGGGGAAGAGGAAGAACAGGAAGCAAAGAGAUUAGGGUUAGAAUCUGGGGGAAGAUCGAAGAUGAAGAGGAAUUAGGUACAAGGAGAAUAGAAUGGUGUUGAAAUAUUAUUCCCUUCUUAACGGGACCGGAGAUUUGAAAUGGUUCAAAACCUCCUACUUAAACUAGAGAUCGGUUCAAAAACCCAAGCAGGUCGAAGCCCAAACACUGAUAAGAAGUGGUAUCGGGCCACCAUAUAGAUGGGCCUAAACCCAACAAUGAGAUAAGACCAUUGGAAUUUGAAACAAGAACUGAAGCCCACGGUGAAAAACUAAGGUAUGGAUUCCUACCAAACUUCUAAUUUCCAAGUAAGCCUAAGAAAAAAUUGAAAUAUUUGGCUAAUAGGGAUGAGAUAAUUCCUAAAUUGUGAAUCCUAACCUUUUUCAUAUUUUUACUUAGAAAAGUAACUCAUUUUUUUACAUAAAUGUUUU
rnacentral:lncRNA from 1 species